AGGGGUGCAGACUCUCAGCUGUAUGUUGUGGGUUCCUCGCCUCUGCUCUCAGCACCAGCCAGGCCCUGACAGAGCUGAACCUUUGGGGGGCGAAGCUGGGAGAUUCAGGCGUGCAGGUGUUGUGUGAGGGACUGAGACAUCCCAACUGCAAACUGCAGAAAAUACUGUUGGGGAGUUGCAGCCUCACAGCUGCUUGCUGUGGGGAUCUCUCCACUAUUCUCAGCACCAGCCAGAGCCUGACAGAGCUGGAACUGGCGGAUAACAAACUGGGGGAUUCAGGCGUGCGGCUGCUGUGUGAGGGACUGAAACACCCAGACUGCAAACUGCAGAAACUAGUCACCAGCCAGACCCUGACAGAGCUCGGCGUAAGGUGGAACAACCUAGGAGAUUCAGGAGUGCAGCUGCUGUGUGAAGGAUUAAAACAUCCAAACUGCAAAUUACAGAUACUGCAACUGAGUGGUUGCCAUUUCACAGCUGCUUGUUGUGGGGAUCUCGCCUCUGCGCUCAGCACCAACCAGACACUGACAGAGCUGAUCCUGGG